CUUAAAUAAUUAACAAGAAGAGGUUUGUCCUUUUAAAGGUCCCUGUCACUGAUACUUGCCUAUAAGAAGGUCUUAGAAAUGGACCUUUCUUAAAACACACUGUUACCACUUGGAUUCAUCACAUUUUUGGGGCAGUUUUAACAUGGCAACUGCAGAAGUCACAGACACUUGAGUAAAUGGUAUUCCUCACAGGUGGACCAAGAAGAGAGGAAUAACUUCUUAAAGUGUUCUGUAAACAAUAAUCACCUUUUUAGAGUUGUGGGACUUUAAAAAGAUGCUUAGGACAUCAUAUUGCCCAUGUUCUGAAAGGCACAGGCUCAGAAGUCUCCACUCCUGGGAAAAGACAAGGCUACCAGAGAGGCAAAAGAAAGCAACAAGUUAUUCCAGACGAGCAGCCUGUGCAACCCUUUGGCCAAUGUUUGACGCAUCAAAGAUCUGUCGUGGUUCAACCUUUUCAUACGCCCUUGGUCAGAACAGAGGAAAGUCAGUUUAAAAAAGAGCCAGCCAUAUUGGAAGAGGGUGCAGGAACCAUUCAGAGCUAGAAAGGUUGAAUUGCAGUGGGGAUGAGGGAGGACAACUCAAAGUUUUCUAAAUAAGGAGAUUAAGAGAUGCCUCAGUUACUGACUACUAGAACCAGCAUGGAAAAAUAAUUUGGAAUAAUAUUGUUGAGUCCACUAGAUAAAAAUAUGGAUGGAUGUUCAUCUCAAGCUGAACAAAUCCAACCUAAAAAGAGAGCACAUUUUUUUAACCACAAGUAUGAAGUUAAACUUCAAAAGACAUUUACAAGAGAAGCAAUAAGUCACAUACUCUGGAUGUCUUUCUGGGAGAUCAAGUUUUAAUCAAGCCCAAAUUAUUGGCCUAGGUACAGGUAAAAUAUAAUGGACUGCGGUAUUUGACCCUGCAGGUCUGCCUAACACCUGAUGCAUGAAUAAAGGCAUUUUAUAAGUCCGCGAUUAUGUGAUG
rnacentral:lncRNA from 1 species